rnacentral:rRNA from 1 species
UACGUAGGGUGCGAGCGUUUGUCCGGGAUUUAUUGGGCGUAAAGAGCUCGUAGGCGGCUUGUCGCGUCCGUUGUGAAAACCUGCAGCUCAACUGCAGGCUUGCGGUCGAUACGGGCAGGCUAGAGUUCGGUAGGGGAGACUGGAAUUCCUGGUGUAGCGGUGGAAUGCGUAGAGAUUCGGAAGAACACCCAUGGCGAAGGCAGCACUCUGGGCUUGAACCGGCAAGGUGAACC